rnacentral:rRNA from 1 species
UACGUAGGGGCGCAAGCGUUAUCCGGAAUUAUUGGGCGUAAAGAGCUCGUAGGCGGUUUGUCGCGUCUGCCGUGAAAGUCCGGGGCUCAACUCCGGAUCUGCGGUGGGUACGGGCAGACUAGAGUGAUGUAGGGGAGACCUGGAAUUCCUGGUGUAGGCGGUAGAAAUGCGCAGAUAUCAGGAGGAACACCGAUGGCGAAGGCAGAUCUCUGGGCCGUAACUGACGCUGAGGAGCGAAAGCAUGGGGAGCGAACAGG